rnacentral:tRNA from 1 species
GCGGUCGUAGCUCAGCUGGAUAGAGCACGAGAUUCCUAAUCUCGGGGUCGUGGGUUCGAUUCCCUCCGAUCGCACCA